GAUGAACGCUAGCGGCAGGCCUAACACAUGCAAGUCGAGGGGCAGCACGUCUUCGGAUGGUGGCGACCGGCGCACGGGUGCGUAACGCGUAUGCAACCUACCUCUUACAGUGGGAUAGCCCAGAGAAAUUUGGAUUAAUACCGCAUAGUAUACAGAUUCAGCAUUGGGACUGUAUUAAACAUUUAUGGGUAAGAGAUGGGCAUGCGUUCUAUUAGUUAGUUGGAGUGGUAACGGCACCCCAAGACAGCGAUAGAUAGGGGCCCUGAGAGGGGGAUCCCCCACAUUGGUACUGAGACACGGACCAG
rnacentral:rRNA from 1 species